GGGCGGGGCCGCGGGCGCUGGGUCUCCGGGCGCGGGUGAGUUGGUAAACACAUCGGGAGCGCGUGCCGGGCGCCAGCGCUGCGCAGAGCGCGCGGAGGGGGCGCGAAGGUGACCGCGGAACCCAGCUUCUUGCAGCCGGCCCCGGAGGGUGGCUGCCAUGCC